GAAGCCUCGGCCUUUAACGCCCGCAGCAGAGCCGCGACAGGAGCCUCCUGAUCUGCGGUUGUCUUUUCCCGCCACAUCCGCCAGGAAACUGCUUCAGAUCUCACUGGAGCGUGGAAGAGGAUCAGCUCCAGAGACUCGGCACAAAACCCUCCUGAACAGAGUGCAGUAAAAGGCUGGAAGUUGCGUGCGCCGGUCCAGAACACACACACAGCCACACCUGAGCCGCCUUCAAUAGGCGUUAUUCAGCAGCCUGACAGCCGGGACAAUGGCGCCGACCGCGGCGGUCCGCUGAGGAGGAACCGACCUGCCUGAACACAUCGGGCCGCCGAGGCUUUCCGUGCCGCCGUGACUGCAGGUGAUAUCCGGUUUCUGAGUGGAUACACUCCCUUUGUCUUCACUUGCAGCUGUUUUGUAACAGGUUUGAGGUGAAAUAACAAGUUGGCGAAACGCAUCCGGCACGCCUGGACUCCGGCUGACGGCGCUCAGACGGAUUCCAUCAGACAGGAUGAGGGAAUGUUAUUGCAGCAUCUUUCAGCCAAACGUUUACAUGUCAUCGUCUUUUGUGUGCCAACUAAUUCCAGCUCGGCUUUGCAGAUGAAACGGUUCCGACUUCAGCGCAGGAAGCGCCACGUAUCUAAACCCCAACAUCCCAUAAACAUGAAGCAAAAACUGUUUUUCAGUGAGCCAUUUAGAAAGUUUUCAGAAAUAAAAAGAGCUCUUAGGGCCACACCCACAAAUCCAGUUGAAAGGUCACUGAACAAUUCAAGAUGGCGGCCAUGGCCAUCAAGGAAAAUGUUUCUUUGCAUUAAAUUUACCAAUAUUUAUCAUUGAUGAAUA